rnacentral:lncRNA from 1 species
GUGGUGGCAGCUUGUGCUACACUCCCUACAGGUGGCUUGGCUCUGAAUCAACCCCCUUUGAUUCACAUGGGAAGUCUUCUUUAAAAAUUACUGAUAGCUGCUUCAAAGUGUAUGUCCUAUUGAUAGGGGAAUCAUGAGUCUCAGAAGAUCUGGGGCUAACCUGAUAUCGUGAGUCUGCUAUUUUGUCCUUAAAAAUGGUGCAAUGUGAAUAAAUGAAGAUACCAUGGAAUGCAAAGCCUCUGCUUAGAGCUGGGUUGAAAAAUCCCAUAUUUGUAACAAUGUAGAUCAACAAAAAUUCUUACAUGCCAGUCACAAUAAUGGCAAAACCAAAGCAUAAGGACAUAACUCAUUCAAGGUCAUGAAACUUAGGUGGAACUCAAAUUCAGUUUCCCAAAAGCUGCUUUGAAGGUUGGCCCUGAAUUUUUCCUUCUCUAGCUCAUCUUAAGGUCUGUGUUUUUAAUUAAAACCAAACUACUUCCUCUCAG